UAAGCGCUAUCAGCGCCGAUGGUACUACAUUAGGGGAGCGUAGAGUCGUUGCCUUU
rnacentral:rRNA from 1 species